rnacentral:rRNA from 1 species
GACUAUGGCCAUACCACCCUGAACACGCCCGAUCUCGUCUGAUCUCGGAAGCUAAGCAGGGUCGGGCCUGGUUAGUACUUGGAUGGGAGACCGCCUGGGAAUACCAGGUGUUGUAGGCU